rnacentral:rRNA from 1 species
AACAAACGCUGGCGGCGUGCCUAACACAUGCAAGUCGUACGAGAAAGGGUCCUUCGGGGCCUGAGUAAAGUGGCGCACGGGUGAGUAACGCGUGGAUAAUCUGCCCUUCAGUUGGGAAUAACUCAUCGAAAGGUGGGCUAAUACCGAAUAAUGCUGUGAGACCUCGGUUGAUCAGCCAAAGAGAGCCUCUGCUUGCAAGCCCUCGCUGAAGGAUGAGUCCGCGUACCAUUAGCUAGUUGGUAGGGUAAUGGCCUACCAAGGCGACGAUGGUUAGCGGGUCUGAGAGGAUGAUCAGCCACACUGGAACUGAGACACGGUCCAGACUCCUACGGGAGGCUGCAGUGAGGAAUCUUGCGCAAUGGGGGCAACCCUGACGCAGCAACGCCGCGUGAGUGAGGAAGGUCUUCGGAUCGUAAAGCUCUGUCGGAUGGAAAGAACCGCAUAGGGGUAAACAGCCCCUGUGUCUGACGGUACCAUCAAAGGAAGCACCGGCUAACUCCGUGCCAGCCGCCGCGGUAAUAC